rnacentral:rRNA from 1 species
GACGAACGCUGGCGGCGUGCCUAAUACAUGCAAGUCGAACGCAGUGGGGACGGGUGAGUAACACGUGGGUAACCUCCCAUCAGAGGGGAUAACACUUGGAAACAGGUGCUAAACCGAUACUGAUGGAUGAACCCGCGGUGCAUUAGCUAGUUGGUGAGGGAACGGCUCACCAAGGCCACGAUGCAUAGCCGACCUGAGAGGGUGAUCGGCCACACUGGGACUGAGACACGGCCCAGAAUCCUACGGGAGGCGGCAGUAGGGAAUCUUCGGCAAUGGACGAAAGUCUGACCGAGCAACGCCGCGUGAGUGAUGAAGGUUUUCGGAUCGUAAAACUCUGUUAUUAGGGAAGCGGUACCUGACUAGAAAGCCACGGCUAACUUCGUGCCAGCAGCCGCGGUAAUUC